AUCCCUUAAUUUCAAUGAUUAAACCACGAAAAUAAGACUAAACUACCUGAAGCCAAGGAGAAAUUGACAAUUUAGGAGUCCAACAAUUUAUUACAAUUCCAAAACAGUCCAAAUCAGGAAGAACCUAACUAAAUAGUCCUAAUUCGGUACAAUUCAAACUCAACAGAGCGAAACAACUACAAGUCAAAAGUGAUGAAGUCAAUAAAGCCAAAUCCGUAAUAGCAAGCAUGAGAAGGCAAUUGUAUUUCUAUUUCAUCAGGGAGAUUACACCAAAACAAACUUGAGUGUGUACCUGGAAUUAAACCAAAUGAAAAUGAAGGGUCAGUAGGAAGUUCCAAACAGCAGUCACAACCAGCAACAAUAGAAGUAGUUUUGACUCAAUCAACUUCUCAAAACCCAGGAAUAAACUCAGAAAUGCAACAGCAACAAAUUGAUUAAAAAACAAGCUUGUUUGUCCUCAGAUUCACUUGAAAUUGAGCUAGGAAUUUACAUAAUAAUACCUUCAGCAAUCAAAAGUACCCAGGAACAACCCGGAUGAACCCCAAAACACCUUCAAUUGCAUUAAAUCUUCAAGUACAAAAUUGACAUACAGAGAUCUAGGCUAAUUUUGAUGCUAAAUGAGCUGGAACUCGACUGUAAUUGCAAACAAAGCAAUGUAACAGUUUCUCUUUUUUUUUUUUUGGAUUUUUACUGCCUUUUUUUGUGUGUGUUUGUUUUUGGAUUUUUCUGCCAAACUAAGAUCUAAAACUGAAAUUUUAGCUUGAUUUCAAAAGCUCUUUGACGAAACAAUUUUUAUUUUUAUUUUUUGUGUUUUCUGGAGUUAAAUUUCAAAUCCUAGAUCUGAAGAUUGAAAAGGGGUAUCUGGGAGGAAUUUUGGGGCUCCAACAUUGUUCAUUAAGGCAUUGGUGAUGCCCUUUUAUAAGCAAAGAUGAGGGCAACCCUCAAUUUCUGUUUACAAAUUAGCCUCUUAUUUAUUUUCAUAUUAGUCCCUUGUUUUCUAACUUGAUUACUCAAGUAACUACCUCUAUUUUUCUGAAAUGUACACUAAAGUCCUAUUCUAGAAGGCCCUAGGGUGUUCUUCUACCUAUAGAAUGCCUAUACUACCAUUUUGUUUUGAAAUUAUUAUUUUUAACAAAACUACCCUUUUUCAUGCCUAAACUACCCCUAAAAACCCCUGAAAUUACUGACCAAUAAGACCCCCUUUUACCUAAGUUAUAAUCUAACUAAAAUUAAUUCAACUACACUACUCAGCUAUAUCCAAACUUCAAGCCUAAUUAGACUGCAAUGAAUACUAAAGAUCAAGUAAACUAAGCUUAAACUAACAAAAGAAUUAACGAAAAUCAACAGUCUCAAAGCGCAAUGGAAAUAAUAUUUGAACUGAAAAUCUAAAAGAAAAAAACAAUUUAUCAGAAAGAUAUUCAACUAAUAUCAUACUGAGCCGAUUGAAACCAAACUAACACCCAACGAUUAAACUAUCAACUAAUUAAUUAAAGCUAAAAUAGGACGAAAAUUAAAUAGAUCUAUAAUAGCAAUUAACCUAGACAUUUGCUAAAACAACACUUAAUUAACAGAUAGAAUGAGAAUCAAAC
rnacentral:lncRNA from 1 species